rnacentral:rRNA from 1 species
AGUUGCGUACGGGUGAGUAAUACUAUGAGUAACCUGCCUUUGACUCUGGGAUAAGCCUGGGAAACUGGGUCUAAUACCGGAUAUGACAAGGAACCGCAUGGUUUUUUGUGGAAAGGGUUUGUACUGGUUUUAGAUGGGCUCACGGCCUAUCAGCUUGUUGGUGGGGUAAUGGCUCACCAAGGCGACGACGGGUAGCCGGCCUGAGAGGGUGACCGGCCACACUGGGACUGAGACACGGCCCAGACUCCUACGGGAGGCAGCAGUGGGGAAUAUUGCACAAUGGGCGCAAGCCUGAUGCAGCGACGCCGCGUGAGGGAUGACGGCCUUCGGGUUGUAAACCUCUUUCAGCAGGGAAGAAGCGAAAGUGACGGUACCUGCAGAAGAAGCGCCGGCUAACUACGUGCCAGCAGCCGCGGUAAUACGUAGGGCGCGAGCGUUGUCCGGAAUUAUUGGGCGUAAAGAGCUUGUAGGCGGUUUGUUGCGUCUGCUGUGAAAGACCGGGGCUUAACCCCGGUAUUGCAGUGGGUACGGGCAGACUAGAGUGCAGUAGGGGAGACUGGAAUUCCUGGUGUAGCGGUGAAAUGCGCAGAUAUCAGGAGGAACACCGAUGGCGAAGGCAGGUCUCUGGGCUGUAACUGACGCUGAGAAGCGAAAGCAUGGGGAGCGAACAGGAUUAGAUACCCUGGUAGUCCAUGCCGUAAACGUUGGGCACUAGGUGU